UAAGGUGGUUAUUGCGUUGGGGCUCACCUCUUACCUUUCCGAACAGAGAAGUUAAGCCCAACUGCGCAGAUGGUACUGCAGUUAUGUGGGAGAGUAUGUCGCCGCCUUCU
rnacentral:rRNA from 3 species